rnacentral:SRP_RNA from 1 species
ACUGGGUACAGUGGCACGUGCCUGUUGUGCCAGCUACUAGGGAGGCUGGGUGGGCAGAUUAUUUGAGCCCAGGAGUUCUGGGCUGUAGUGUGCUAUGCCAAUCGGGUGUCCAAUUGAUGCACUAAGUUUGGCAUCAAUAUGGUGACCUUCUGGGAGCAGGGGACCACCAGGUUGCCCAAGGAGGGGUGAACCAGCCCAGGUCGGAAACAGAGCACGUCAAAACGCCUGUGUUGAUAAAUAGUGGGAUCACGCCUGUGAACAGCCACUGCACUCCAGCCUGGGCAACAUAGCGAGACCCUGUCUCA